rnacentral:misc_RNA from 1 species
UUAAAUUAUAUGACGUCUUGCAUAUUAAUCAUUUCGAAUAAGACCCAAUUAUUUGAGUUCUUUUUCUUGAGCUCCAGUUGACAGCACACAUAAAGGUUGUUGGUACGGACGGGUGUGUAUGCGUGAGAGAAUUACCUAAUCGAAGAAUUUCAACAGAACUCAAAUUAUGGCGCAGCAGCCGAAUGACAACGUCAUUGUGAUAGACUGCGGAGGGGAGAUAACAUGCAACGAUAUACAUAAUCUGAAGAAUCAAAUUGGAAUUGAUAGUGACGACGUACGAUUAAUAGAUGAAGCACUAAACUUGCUAUGUGAUCAGCCAAAACGGAUUUUCCGAGACGCUGAAAUCGGAUUUCUAAUGAAAAAUCAAUGCUACAGCAUGCACUCUGGAGCACAAACCAACAAGUAUUUGAUAUUUUUCGGCGGGGAAUCUGGCCAAGCGGCGGUAAAACUCCGGGAAGCUGGAUGGGAAUUGUUUAUAAAGAAAAAAGCUAUGGCCAUUUGGAAUUGGGUAACUGAAAACCCGGAUAAAGUAAUUGGUCUAGUUCAAUUGAUAGCCGUAGUUGGUGGGUUAAGGGCAGUUCAAGGUAAUGAAUAGUGGGAAAACACUUCUAUUUAAAUAUUCAAUACAUUUCUGUAGUGGGAAAAGUGCUUACAGAAUAGGCCUAUAGGAGGCUGGAUCUGACACGCCAUAGACCAAUAACGUAGAUCAAAUUAGAUUGAUAGGUAGAUUUGUUGUAAAACGUUUUCAUAAAUAGGCCUACGUAUUUAUACAUAAAUAACAUUUGAACUUUGUAUUAUUCUACCUAACCACAACGUUCUCGAACAAGGUAACGACUCUAAUUAGCCUUUGAAACUCCUAUUGUCAGUUUCUGGGGCCUCGCCCUCAUGGACCACUUCCAGAGGUCUCAUAUGUUCGAAAAAAAAUCCCUUCCGUGAAUGAGAUCGGGUAAUGCGCGUCUAUAAUUAAAUUUACAUUUAUUUUGCUGCUCAUGAUCGUGCAACCACUGUCGACCAUGUUUCACCAACUAGGAAUGACAAAACAUGAUAGGCCUAAUAAUGUGGAAAGUGUUACCGAAAUUCAAAAGACCAUAAUACAUUAGAAAAGUGUACCAAAUUUCAUGGAGUUUUGAUAACUAACAACAGAGUUAGGACGAUAUUUAUAGUCAUGAGUAUGCAAAAUUCGUCUGUCGCCAGAUAGAAAAAUACCGUUUUAGCAAUCUGCCAUUUAAUAAAUGUUGUGUACCACAGGGCUUAUAAUUACUGAUUGGUAAGCUGGUUGGAAGGUUGUCAAUUUGUACUUUAAGUUCUUUAAAUCGAGGUGGGUUUAGUGUGGUUAUGGUACAGUUUAUCUAUGUCGCCAAUUGCACGUAAUUUACGUUACAUAAUCAUAAUUUCAAGAAAAACAUAUAUUAUUGCAGGAAAACUUCAAGGUAAUAACUAAUAUUUGCUUAGUAUAAGAUGUUAUGAAUACUGUACUUUUAAUUCGGAAAAGUAGAAUAGUCAUCUAUCCAAAAUAUGGUCAGUAAAUCAUCAUUGGUGUUAAGUAAUCAUAUUUAAUUAGUAAUUGUAAUUAGAAAGGUAAUUUACGUUACAGUAACCUACGUUACGUUUUGGAAUAUUAAUCCAUAUUAAUGAAAUAUAGAGGGCAUAAAACUAUUAUAAAUGACUUUAUUUACGCCGCCAACGACGCAUGAAAGUUUUAGAACCUUCUAAGAAAAAAUGGCAUUGAGCAAUUGACAUCCAGAAUGUGUUUACCAACUUUGUUCCCUCGAAUGUUGGUCCAUGUCCAUUAUUAAAGUGAAGCAAUUUGGUAAGUAUUUAUUAUAUGCUGUGUCUCGGCUAUACUUUUAUAAUAAAAUGUUAAAUUGAAAAUUUCAUGCAAUAGCUUAGGCCUAGUUGAAAGGAAUACUACGUUGUGAAAAGUAACGUAUGUUAAACACAAGGUAACGUAUGUUAUUGAUGAUAUAGCAUGUAAUGAACAUCAUUUAAUAAAAACAUGGGCAGAUA